rnacentral:lncRNA from 1 species
CCUGAAUAAUGUCACCAACGUUAAUAAUGUAAGAAUAUGGAACAGGUUUAACCCGGAGCCAUUCACCAUCGCUCUUUCUCUUAACGUCAAAACCUCCAACAUCAUCCUGAGCAAGUACUGUUAGUGCACCUGCAUCCUUGUGCGGAGUAACCCCAAGAACCAAGUCAGGUGUUGGGCAUGGAGGAUAGUGAUUGAGGCGUAUAAAGCUGGUUUGGCCUUGGAAGAAACCGUUGAACCGUUUUUCAGGUAAGCCCAAGCUCAAUGCGAUAAGCUCCAACAAUUUAUAAGAUAGUCUUUCCAAAGCUCGAGCAUAUUCCUCACCCGCCUCCCUAUUGAAGAGGUGAGUAAAUAGCAUCAUAAUGCAUUCCUUACCUUACCAUAAGGAGUUUAAAUUGUACAAUUAUUAAUCAAGGAGAAAAUUGCAUAAUUAUUUGUUGGAGAAAUUACAUAACAAUUGUUGGCUGAUAAUCGUGUUCAUUCCAUUUCAAAGUUAUGUCAUGGAGCAAUCCAAUUUGGAUGUAGCAGAGGCAACAUGUUACUAGUUGAAAGAACCCUUAGUACAAACAAUCCCGAAAACACAAUCAAUAUCAGUUUUUAGAAUGCUAUGACUAAAAAAGCCACAUAUUUCAGAUAUUUAGAAUGCAUCAACUAAACUAAAACAACAUAUACGUCUAUAUUAAUAUAUCGAUCUCACUGGCAAAAAUAAUCGCAUAUGAGAAAAUGAUUGAAACAUUUACUGAAAUUACCUUAAUUCAGGAGGAUACUCAGGCCAAUGAUUCCUCACCUCCUGAAUCUCUUCAUCCUCAGGCUUAUGUGAAGCAGGAAGUAAAGUCGGAUUUUCGACUGUGAAAUCAAACACUUCUUUCCAGUCUCUCACAUUUUUAGUAUUUUCUGCAGCAUAAUAACCAUAGACAAUGUUCUCAUCUCUCCUCACCUUCCUCUUCUCUUCCGUCUCCAACGCAAAAAACUUCCUUGCUGCUGUCUCAAUACCAUUUUGGACUUCAGAUGGUACACCAUGAUUGAUCACUUGAAAGAAUCCCCAGUUUUUACAUGCAUCACCAAUCUCUUUAAUCAAUGAAUUAAGUACACCAGGAUCAUUGUAGAAUUCUGGGUGAUUCAAUGGAGAUAAAUCAAUCAGCGGAAUCCCUUCAGCCUCAACAACGUUGAGUUUUGGUCUGUGUUCUAAUUCUUGAAUGGAUGCUGAAUCAACUUCACUCAUUUCUCUCACAACUUUCAAUCUCACCAAAUAAAGAUUACUAUCACCAAGGGAGUGCUUUCUGCCUUCCUUACUACUCUGUAUAUCAAGUUAUUCCAUGUACAUUGAAUCUGAAUGUUUCUCUGGAAGAGAAAAUAUGUACAAAGCUUGAAGCAAUGGAUGGACAAUUUCUAUGUGAUUGUUCAUUUCGUCUUUAUUGGUAGAAUGCAACAACUUAGUUGCAUCAUGCAUGUGAUGUUCAGUUUAGUUUUGGCACUUAUGCUUUAAAUAGAUGAUGCAAUUGAGUGCUCCACUCAUAUAUAUCUAAUGAUUUGGACUCCAAGGAUGUAACAUGACGGAAAAUGAACUAAAAGAAGGUAAUCGGUUUAGAUACUGAAGUCUGUGAACAAUACUAAAAGACACAAAAUGAUAGCCUACACAAACUUUACUAAAACUCACCUCUGUUUCAGAGUAUAUCGAGAUCCGUUCGCAGGCAGAAUUCCUCCCCCUUGACAGUAAUCAACAAAAACCAAUGAGAAUAUUCAACUAUCAAAGAUUAAUUUGAAGGAAGAAGACCCUGCAAUUAAAUAGAUUUUAGAAAAGGAGAAACUAGUGUAUAUGUGUGUUAGAUUGUUUGUGUUAGGAUCCUGGUUAAGUAAUUGAUCUUCGGCUCCUUGACAACUCGGGUUUUCAAGGAAAAUUCCUGUAUUGCUCGGUUUUUUAACUUCCGAGUUGUCAAGGAGUUCAGGACCAUAAUAUCCAUAAGUAUUACAUAAAUAAGGUGGUCAGGUCUACUAAGUGCAUGUCUUAAUUUUUCAAUAGACCUCAAAAAGUCAUGGCAUGUAGCGAAAGAAAACAAUUGGCAAUUUAACAAAGCACCAAGGAUGGGUUUUUAUGUAAUUGCUCCAAAACAAUUUUACAGUGGAGUUUUAUUCAUCCAACCCAAGCUUGUGAAUUACACACUUAAGGGCAUCUCUAAUGGUUCAUCAAAUCUUUCAUCGAAUUCAAAUUUGAUGAAAAAGUAAAAAAAACUCCAUCUAAUGGACCAUCAAAACUUUUUCAAAUUUGAUAUUUUAGCAAAAAUCAUCAAAAGUUCAUCAAAUUUGAUGAAAUUUUGAUGAAAAACUUAAGGUUUGAUACUGGGUGAGGCGGGCAAGAGAAGACCGCUUCACUUAAAUCACUUAAAGCGGCUAAUGAAGUGCCGCUUAAAGUGGCACUUCAAAGCCCGCUUUAACUAAGUGGCACUUGGACAGCCCCAUUAACUAAGUGAAGCGGGUGUUGGGGGCCCGCUUUAGUGAAGCGGUCAUCCAUUAGCCGCUUUAACUAAGUGAAGCGGGUGUUGGAGGCCCGCUUUAGUGAAGCGGUCAUCUAUUAGCCGCUUUGUUGAUGAACCAUUAGAUGGAGCAGAUUUUCAAAGCAAAUUUUUCAUCAAAGUAGCAUCAAAUGUGUAUACGUGGACCAUCAAAUUUGAUGAACCAUUAGAGAUGCCCUAACUGCUAUUAACACUACCAUAAAAUAUUACACACUCAUCCCACAUUUUAAUUGAUAACCAACUCAUUUAUCAGAUGAACCAGAAAUUUGAAAGUGAUGUAUCUGGAUGUUUUCGACAUCAAGUUUCUUGAAAUUGCUUGCCUUCCUCGUCUUGAAAAACUUCCCCCAAUUGUAUGCCUUGUACUUGGCUGGGCUCUCUUCGCUGAUCAGCUCUUCUAAAGGUUUCACCAUCACAUCGUGUGAAGGAUUGAAAAAGAAAGGAAUGGAAAACCUUUCCUUCUCGGAGUUCACCAUCACCCUGUGCUCUACGCUUUCAUACUUUUCAUUGCUCCAAACCUGCACAUCAGUCCCAAAUGAGCUAAUCCACGAAACAACAUAAUCUUAAGCAUCGUAUUUAUCAAUCAAGUGAAACAGAACUUACAGAUGCAAAAACUGAUUAAGGCAGGUACCUGAAUAAUGUCACCAACGUUAAUAAUGUAAGAAUAUGGAACAGGUUUAACCCGGACCCAUUCGCCAUCGCUCUUUCUCUUAACGUCAAGACCUCCAACGUCAUCUUGAGCAAGUACAGUGAGCGCACCACCAUCCUUGUGCCGACCAACCCCAAGAGCCAAGUCAGGUAAUGGGCAUGGAGUGUAAGCCCUCUUUCCUUGAUGAGCUCAGCUGGGUCCUUCAACUGCUUCAACGGUAGUACCUGCAAUGACCACCGGACAAUGACCGGUGGAUAAAGCUCCAACGAUCAAGUCAGUAAGCGGCUAGGGUUAGAGAAUAGGUUUUAGCAAAGAAUGAACAGUUACCUUUAGCGAACCCUAGCGUGAUCCUUUUAUAGCAAUAUUCACC